UCCAGAGGGUGCAAGCGAUAAUCGGAAUUACUGGGCGUAAAGCGUACGUAGGUGGUUUGUUAAGUCAGGCGUGAAAUCCUGGGGCUCAACCUCAGAAUUGCGCUUGAUACUGACAGACUCGAGUGUGGUAGAGGAUAGUGGAAUUCCCGGUGUAGCGGUGAAAUGCGUAGAUAUCGGGAGGAACAUCAGUGGCGAAGGCGGCUAUCUGGACCAACACUGACACUGAGGUACGAAAGCGUGGGUAGCAACCAGG
rnacentral:rRNA from 1 species